rnacentral:tRNA from 1 species
GAAAGAUUAGUUAAAUAAUAACAUUAGAAUGUCAAACUAAAAUUAUCAAACAUUUUGAUAUCCUUCU